rnacentral:rRNA from 1 species
UACGUAGGGCGCAAGCGUUGUCCGGAAUUAUUGGGCGUAAAGAGCUCGUAGGCGGCCAGUUGCGUCCGCUGUGAAAUCCCGGGGCUUAACCCCGGGCGUGCAGUGGAUACGGGCAGGCUAGAGUUCGGUAGGGGAGACUGGAAUUCCCGGUGUAGCGGUGAAAUGCGUAGAUAUCUGGAGGAACACCGGUGGCGAAGGCGGCAUCCUGGACCGAGAUUGACGCUGAGGCGCGAAAGCCAGGGGAGCAAACGGG